rnacentral:rRNA from 1 species
GACGAACGCUGGCGGCGUGCUUAACACAUGCAAGUCGAACGGAAAGGCCCUGCUUUUGUGGGGUGCUCGAGUGGCGAACGGGUGAGUAACACGUGAGUAACCUGCCCUUGACUUUGGGAUAACUUCAGGAAACUGGGGCUAAUACCGGAUAGGAGCUCCUGCUGCAUGGUGGGGGUUGGAAAGUUUCGGCGGUUGGGGAUGGACUCGCGGCUUAUCAGCUUGUUGGUGGGGUAGUGGCUUACCAAGGCUUUGACGGGUAGCCGGCCUGAGAGGGUGACCGGCCACAUUGGGACUGAGAUACGGCCCAGUCUCCUACGGGAGGCAGCAGUGGGGAAUAUUGCACAAUGGGCGGAAGCCUGAUGCAGCAACGCCGCGUGCGGGAUGACGGCCUUCGGGUUGUAAACCGCUUUCGCCUGUGACGAAGCGUGAGUGACGGUAAUGGGUAAAGAAGCACCGGCUAACUACGUG